AGACUGACCCUCUGGGGAUUUUGUGAGUAGAUUGCAAGAUAACAUGGCAAGAGUUUUGAGACAGUACGUCACAAGCAUCUUCCCAUUCCAAUCAUAAACGACAAACAAACCUUAAAUCAAAACUAACAGGAUUUUUUUUUUUUUUUUGAGGAGGCAACUAGGGAACCUCAGUUACGACUGAAAUUGCAUGGAAAUACAACAUGGGAGUGAGAAAUACUGCGGGUCGACACUACAGAGGACGAGAGAAUUGGAUUUCAACAGCGCUGUCCGCAGACAGGCAGGGACAGGUGCUGCAGGCGGAGAAAGGAGGAGCAAAGACACGCCGAACCGCUUCAGAGGAGGAAUUCUGAAACAGCUGUCCAGCAGACGUCCUGCCUGCGAGAAGUAAACCCUCAAGGGCAGAGAGAGAGAGAGAGAGAGAGAGAGAGAGA